AGUCCACUCAGAACUUUCCCCUUGGACCCCCUAGAAAGUCCUGCUGUCCUCCACCUGGCCACCCCUCGGCUCUGGGAGACACAUGUCUUCUCGCCCCCACUGACUGGGAAUGUCAGACUCCUGCAGGCCAGCUGGAUGUUUUCCAGGAGCACCAACCAGGAAAUUCUCCAACAGGGAAGUGGCUAUUAGAACAUUAAAGGAAGUGAUGUUGGCACAUUUUACUGGCGGGAGGAUUCACCACGAGGAAGAAAAGGCCAGAAGGCGACGCCCGGUAAGGAGCAAGGCCCACAAAUCCUCGGGUGAGUCUGAGGGAGGAGGUGGUGGCUGUGGGGUCAGCAGGUGGGCACGUCCAUCACGUGGCUCCCUCUGCUGGGCUUGUGGCCCCAUGUGCAAUAGAGAAAAUAUGGAAGGCUGGGUCACCCAAUCAGAAACAUGAAGCUGGCCAGGCACAGUGGCUCACACCUAUAAUCCCAGCGCUUUGGGAGGCCAAGGAGGUCAGAUCACCUGAGGUCAGGAGUUCGAGACCAGCCUGGCCAACAUGGCGAAACCCCAUCUUUACUAAAAAUACAAAAUUAGCUGGGCGUGGUGGUGCACGCCUGUAAUCCCAGCUAC
rnacentral:lncRNA from 1 species